rnacentral:rRNA from 1 species
UACAGAGGGGGCAAGCGUUGUUCGGAAUUACUGGGCGUAAAGGGCGCGUAGGCGGCCUGCUAAGUCGAACGUGAAAUCCCCGGGCUCAACCCGGGAACUGCGUCCGAUACUGGCGGGCUUGAAUCCGGGAGAGGGAUGUGGAAUUCCAGGUGUAGCGGUGAAAUGCGUAGAUAUCUGGAGGAACACCGGUGGCGAAGGCGGCAUCCUGGACCGGUAUUGACGCUGAUGCGCGAAAGCCAGGGGAGCAAACGGG